AGCCCAGAGCCUGAAUCAGUGUGUGUGUUAGUGGAAGCGUCUGGAAAGGCGCGCGAUACAGGGUGACAGCCCCGUACACAAAAAUGCACAUAUUGUGAGCUCGAUGAGUAGGGCGGGACACGUGGUAUCCUGUCUGAAUAUGGGGGGACCAUCCUCCAAGGCUAAAUACUCCUGACUGACCGAUAGUGAACCAGUACCGUGAGGGAAAGGCGAAAAGAACCCCGGCGAGGGGAGUGAAAAAGAACCUGAAACCGUGUACGUACAAGCAGUGGGAGCCUCUUUUAUGGGGUGACUGCGUACCUUUUGUAUAAUGGGUCAGCGACUUAUAUUCUGUAGCAAGGUUAACCGAAUAGGGGAGCCGAAGGGAAACCGAGUCUUAACUGGGCGUUAAGUUGCAGGGUAUAGACCCGAAACCCGGUGAUCUAGCCAUGGGCAGGUUGAAGGUUGGGUAACACUAACUGGAGGACCGAACCGACUAAUGUUGAAAAAUUAGCGGAUGACUUGUGGCUGGGGGUGAAAGGCCAAUCAAACCGGGAGAUAGCUGGUUCUCCCCGAAAGCUAUUUAGGUAGCGCCUCGUGAAUUCAUCUCCGGGGGUAGAGCACUGUUUCGGCAAGGGGGUCAUCCCGACUUACCAACCCGAUGCAAACUGCGAAUACCGGAGAAUGUUAUCACGGGAGACACACGGCGGGUGCUAACGUCCGUCGUGAAGAGGGAAACAACCCAGACCGCCAGCUAAGGUCCCAAAGUCAUGGUUAAGUGGGAAACGAUGUGGGAAGGCCCAGACAGCCAGGAUGUUGGCUUAGAAGCAGCCAUCAUUUAAAGAAAGCGUAAUAGCUCACUGGUCGAGUCGGCCUGCGCGGAAGAUGUAACGGGGCUAAACCAUGCACCGAAGCUGCGGCAGCGACGCUUAUGCGUUGUUGGGUAGGGGAGCGUUCUGUAAGCCUGUGAAGGUGUGCUGUGAGGCAUGCUGGAGGUAUCAGAAGUGCGAAUGCUGACAUAAGUAACGAUAAAGCGGGUGAAAAGCCCGCUCGCCGGAAGACCAAGGGUUCCUGUCCAACGUUAAUCGGGGCAGGGUGAGUCGACCCCUAAGGCGAGGCCGAAAGGCGUAGUCGAUGGGAAACAGGUUAAUAUUCCUGUACUUGGUGUUACUGCGAAGGGGGGACGGAGAAGGCUAUGUUGGCCGGGCGACGGUUGUCCCGGUUUAAGCGUGUAGGCUGGUUUUCCAGGCAAAUCCGGAAAAUCAAGGCUGAGGCGUGAUGACGAGGCACUACGGUGCUGAAGCAACAAAUGCCCUGCUUCCAGGAAAAGCCUCUAAGCAUCAGGUAACAUCAAAUCGUACCCCAAACCGACACAGGUGGUCAGGUAGAGAAUACCAAGGCGCUUGAGAGAACUCGGGUGAAGGAACUAGGCAAAAUGGUGCCGUAACUUCGGGAGAAGGCACGCUGAUAUGUAGGUGAAGUCCCUUGCGGAUGGAGCUGAAAUCAGUCGAAGAUACCAGCUGGCUGCAACUGUUUAUUAAAAACACAGCACUGUGCAAACACGAAAGUGGACGUAUACGGUGUGACGCCUGCCCGGUGCCGGAAGGUUAAUUGAUGGGGUCAGCGCAAGCGAAGCUCUUGAUCGAAGCCCCGGUAAACGGCGGCCGUAACUAUAACGGUCCUAAGGUAGCGAAAUUCCUUGUCGGGUAAGUUCCGACCUGCACGAAUGGCGUAAUGAUGGCCAGGCUGUCUCCACCCGAGACUCAGUGAAAUUGAACUCGCUGUGAAGAUGCAGUGUACCCGCGGCAAGACGGAAAGACCCCGUGAACCUUUACUAUAGCUUGACACUGAACAUUGAGCCUUGAUGUGUAGGAUAGGUGGGAGGCUUUGAAGUGUGGACGCCAGUCUGCAUGGAGCCGACCUUGAAAUACCACCCUUUAAUGUUUGAUGUUCUAACGUGGACCCGUGAUCCGGGUUGCGGACAGUGUCUGGUGGGUAGUUUGACUGGGGCGGUCUCCUCCUAAAGAGUAACGGAGGAGCACGAAGGUUGGCUAAUCCUGGUCGGACAUCAGGAGGUUAGUGCAAUGGCAUAAGCCAGCUUGACUGCGAGCGUGACGGCGCGAGCAGGUGCGAAAGCAGGUCAUAGUGAUCCGGUGGUUCUGAAUGGAAGGGCCAUCGCUCAACGGAUAAAAGGUACUCCGGGGAUAACAGGCUGAUACCGCCCAAGAGUUCAUAUCGACGGCGGUGUUUGGCACCUCGAUGUCGGCUCAUCACAUCCUGGGGCUGAAGUAGGUCCCAAGGGUAUGGCUGUUCGCCAUUUAAAGUGGUACGCGAGCUGGGUUUAGAACGUCGUGAGACAGUUCGGUCCCUAUCUGCCGUGGGCGCUGGAGAACUGAGGGGGGCUGCUCCUAGUACGAGAGGACCGGAGUGGACGCAUCACUGGUGUUCGGGUUGUCAUGCCAAUGGCACUGCCCGGUAGCUAAAUGCGGAAGAGAUAAGUGCUGAAAGCAUCUAAGCACGAAACUUGCC
rnacentral:rRNA from 1 species